CAGAAAACUUAGAGAUACUCAAGGUGCCACAGAUCCAUCGACUCCAGCCUCAAACUCAAGGCACUCUAUUCAUUAAAGGGGGCGGUCUCUAAAUGGGCUCCAGAGUUCAAGGAUCACCACCAGAAAGGAGUAGAUGCCUGUGAGGACAAAAGCUACACAUGCCCUGUUGAGGACCACCUGGUCUUUAGGAUGCAGAACACCAGGACCUGUAAAAGUUGUGGUGCCCAGUCUACCAGACAGGAAGACUUCAGCAACCUGUCUCUGAAUCUGUUACCUGGAGGUUCAGUCCAGAUGCUCCAGGAUUACCUAAUGG